rnacentral:lncRNA from 1 species
UCAUUUUCUACCAUCAAAAAUCUAAUACCUAAUGGAUCUAAGGGCAAUUCUUUCUGCAGUGUUCUUUGAAGAACGUCCCAAAAACAAACCCCUUCCCAACAAUGCAAAAAAAC